GUUGUAUAGUCAAGUAAUUAAGUGCAUGUGGUGGAUGCCUUGGCAGUCAGAGGCGAUGAAAGACGUGAUAGCCUGCGAAAAGCUCCGGGGAGGCGGCAAAUAUCCUUUGAUCCGGAGAUGUCUGAAUGGGGGAACCCACCUACUUUAAGGUAGGUAUUGCAACAUGAAUACAUAGUGUUGCAAGGCGAACGAGGGGAAGUGAAACAUCUCAGUACCCUUAGGAAAAGAAAUCAAUUGAGAUUCCCUCAGUAGCGGCGAGCGAACGGGGAUCAGCCCAUUAAGUUAUGUGUGUUUUAGUGGAACGCUCUGGGAAGUGCGAACGUAGAGGGUGAUAUUCCCGUACACGAAAGGGCACACAUAAUGAUGACGAGUAGGGCGAGGCACGUGAAACCUUGUCUGAAUAUGGGGGGACCAUCCUCCAAGGCUAAAUACUCCUGACUGACCGAUAGUGAACCAGUACCGUGAGGGAAAGGCGAAAAGAACCCCUGUGAGGGGAGUGAAAUAGAUCCUGAAACCGCAUGCAUACAAGCAGUGGGAGCACCUUCGUGGUGUGACUGCGUACCUUUUGUAUAAUGGGUCAGCGACUUAUAUUCAGUAGCGAGGUUAACCGUAUAGGGGAGCCGUAGAGAAAUCGAGUCUUAAUAGGGCGUUUAGUUGCUGGGUAUAGACCCGAAACCAGGCGAUCUAUCCAUGAGCAGGUUGAAGGUUGGGUAACACUAACUGGAGGACCGAACCCACUGUCGUUGAAAAGCCAGGGGAUGACUUGUGGAUAGGGGUGAAAGGCUAAUCAAGCCUGGUGAUAGCUGGUUCUCCCCGAAAGCUAUUUAGGUAGCGCCUCGGACGAAUACCAUAGGGGGUAGAGCACUGUUUCGGCUAGGGGGUCAUCCCGACUUACCAAACCGAUGCAAACUCCGAAUACCUAUGAGUACUAUCCGGGAGACAGACUGCGGGUGCUAACGUCCGUAGUCAAGAGGAAAACAAUCCAGACCGCCAGCUAAGGCCCCAAAAUCAUAGUUAAGUGGGAAACGAUGUGGGAAGGCAUAGACAGCUAGGAGGUUGGCUUAGAAGCAGCCACCCUUUAAAGAAAGCGUAAUAGCUCACUAGUCGAGUCGGCCUGCGCGGAAGAUGUAACGGGGCUAAAACUAUGUGCCGAAGCUGCGGAUNNNNNNNNNNNNNNNNNNNNNNNNNNNNNNNNNNNUUGACAUUAGUCAAGUGGUAGGGGAGCGUUCUGUAAGCCGAUGAAGGUGUAUUGAGAAGUAUGCUGGAGGUAUCAGAAGUGCGAAUGCUGACGUGAGUAACGACAAAACGGGUGAAAAACCCGUUCGCCGAAAGACCAAGGGUUCCAGUCCAACGUUAA
rnacentral:rRNA from 1 species